CCUACGGGAGGCAGCAGUGGGGGAUAUUGCACAAUGGGGGAAACCCUGAUGCAGCAACGCCGCGUGAAGGAAGGCGCGUUUCGGCGCGUAAAGCCCUGUCCUCAGGGAAGAAGAAGGACGGUAGCUGACUAAGAAGCCACGGCUAACUACGUGCCAGCAGCCGCGGUAAUACGUAGGGGGCAAGCGUUAUCCGGAUUUACUGGGUGUAAAGGGGGCGCAGACGGCAGGGCAAGCCAGCAGUGAAAGCCACGGGCUUAACCUCUGGACUGCGGUUGGAACUGCGUGGCUGGAGUGAAGGAGGGGUAGGCGGAAUUCCGGGUGUAGCGGUGAAAUGCGUAGAUAUUCGGAGGAACACCGGUGGCGAAGGCGGCCUGCUGGACUGCGACUGACGCUGAGGCUCGAAAGUGUGGGGAGCAAACAGGAUUAGAUACCCGAGUAGUC
rnacentral:rRNA from 1 species